NNNNNAACAAGGAUUCCCUAGUAACUGCGAGUGAACCGGGAUGAGCUCAAAUUUAAAAUCUGGCGGUUCUGCCGUCCGAGUUGUAAUCUGGAGAAGCGUUUCCCGCGUCGGACCGUGUACAAGUCUCUUGGAAUAGAGCGUCAUAGAGGGUGAGAAUCCCGUCCAUGACACGGACUGCCGAUGCUAUGUGAUACGCUCUCAAAGAGUCGAGUUGUUUGGGAAUGCAGCUCAAAAUGGGUGGUAAAUCCCAUCUAAAGCUAAAUAUUGGCGAGAGACCGAUAGCGAACAAGUACCGUGAGGGAAAGAUGAAAAGCACUUUGGAAAGAGAGUUAAACAGUACGUGAAAUUGUUGAAAGGGAAACGCUUGAAGUCAGUCGCGUCGUGCGGAGCUCAGCCUUGCUUCUGCUUGGUGUAUUCUCCGUGUCGAUGGGUCAACAUCAAUUUUGGCCGGUGGAAAAGGGUCCAGGGAAUGUAGCGUCGUUUCGGCGAYGUGUUAUAGCCUUGGAUCGUAUGCAUCGGCUGGGAUUGAGGACCGCAGCUUUAUGCUUAGGAUGUUGGCAAAAUGGCUUUAAGCGACCCGUCUUGAAACACGGACCAAGGAGUCUAACAUGCCUGCGAGUGUUCGGGUGGAAAACCCUUGCGCGUAAUGAAAGUGAAAGUUGGGAUCCCUCGCAAGGGGGUGCACCGACGCCCGGCCCAGACGUUCUCUGACGGUGCUGCGGUAGAGCAUGUAUGUUGGGACCCGAAAGAUGGUGAACUAUGCCUGAAUAGGGUGAAGCCAGAGGAAACUCUGGUGGAGGCUSGUAGCGAUUCUGACGUGCAAAUCGAUCGUCAAAUUUGGGUAUAGGGGCGAAAGACUAAUCGAACCNNNNNNNNNNNNNNNNNNNNN
rnacentral:rRNA from 1 species